UGUGGUGGCUCUCCUUUCUUUUAUCUCAACCGUGGUAUCCGCGGGGUAACGCCAUGGCGAUCGCGGCCACGAACUGUAUGUAACGCAUGCAGUCGAGUUAUAUAUAGUGGAACAGAGCCGAGAAAGCAUUGCGGGUUUGUUGCAGCAGCAUCCAUCGCGUGCGUACAUUAAUCUAAGCGAUCUUCAUCCAGCCUUCUGCUCUGCUCCCUCGAAAUGGAGGCGACGAGCAAGGCGAUGGCUUCAGGCCUCCUCGUUCUGCUGCUUCUCAUCAACACAGGCUUUGUCCUGCCCGUCCAUUCCGAGGACUGCUGGGCCGACACCCGCGUCAUCUGCACCAAGACGCACAACUGCCGGGACGACACUUGCGCGGGGCGCGGCAUGCCGGACGGCCGCUGCCACUGGGAGUUCCCCAACCUGGUGCCCUUCUGCCAGUGCCUGCGCCCCAACUGCCACUAGUCCGGGCGCCUCGGAUUGGCUCACUUCGCCGGCGAUGAUGGAUGGUGCCCAACUGCGACUGCCCAGUCUGCUCCAUUCGUUGUUGUUUAAGGCAUAAUAUAUAAACUGCCAAAUUCACAUGUAUUUUGGGAUAUUUGUUAUCAUACUAUGAAAUGACUGUGAAUCGUUGUUCUGAUUUGUCUUUCACCACAUGUUUUCCUUGCAUGAAGUAAUAUACGAUAUUUAUGUAUUUCUUGUUUUCGAGAAUAAUAGUCAAAGUAUCUUGUGAUUUGAACGGUUA